GGAUGAACGCUAGCGGCAGGCCUAACACAUGCAAGUCGAGGGAGAAGCCCUUUCGGGGGCAGAAACCGGCGCACGGGUGCGUAACGCGUAUGCAACCUACCUUUCACAGGGGGAUAGCCCGAAGAAAUUUGGAUUAAUACCCCAUAAUAUUAUUGGAUGGCAUCAUUUGAUAAUUAAAACUGCGGUGGUGAAAGAUGGGCAUGCGUCCUAUUAGCUAGUUGGAGUGGUAACGGCACCCCAAGGCUACGAUAGGUAGGGGUCCUGAGAGGGAGAUCCCCCACACUGGUACUGAGACAGGGACCAGACUCCUACGGGAGGCAGCAGUGAGGAAUAUUGGUCAAUGGUCGGAAGACUGAACCAGCCAUGCCGCGUGCAGGAAGAAUGCCUUAUGGGUUGUAAACUGCUUUUAUAUGGGAAGAAUAAGGCGUACGUGUACGUUGAUGACGGUACCAUAUGAAUAAGCAUCGGCUAACUCCGUG
rnacentral:rRNA from 1 species